UCGAUAACGGUAUCGAAUUCAACGUAUCCUGGAAGUUAUUAGUAAUUCUAAAUUAAAUUAUAAAAUCUUGAAUGAUAUUAAAAUAUUGGCAGUUCAAGUCCACCCGUUAUUAUAAAAUUGUGAAUUUUUAUAUCGACGUUUAAAAGUUAUGAAGCACUUAAAAGAUGUUUAACGGGUUAAAAAUACUAGUUGGCGCCUGGUAGAUUGCUAGCUAGAUAGAUGGUACUUUCCUCGCUCGACGACUAAGUAUCGCAAUACAUUGAGGAAAUGCUGCCAGCCUUAAAGAAGUCGGAAGUUGGAAAACUCAGCGUCUAUGAAACUGGACCAUCAGCAAGUACCCGAUGUCAAGAAUUAUAAGGGCUCAACAAUUGCUCCCAGAUCUAGGCUUGGUCACCAUUAAAUAAAGUGCCUGACUCGCGUCGUACACUUUUUGGGUCUAAAGCAUGUCGGUUUCCUGACGACGUUUUCCUUAACCGUUCGAGCGAAUUGAAAAUGAAAGUUGCUAUUCCAUAUAGUUAUAAAUAUCGGAGAAGACAAACGCAGUGCAUCCCGAAGCGGGUGAUAUUCAAUGAGGGCCUUCGGGAGUAAACAAGAAUUGAUCGCAUCAUUUAUAACGUGCGAUUUAGAUAGCCCGCCGACGGUUCCAUUAUUCAACGCUCGCGGCACGUCAAACCACUCUUAGGGAUCCUCAUAAUGGGGAAGUCUGUGCAACUUCGAUGCUCUGGAUUGAACUUAAACUUAAUUCCACAAACAAGUUAUGGUAUGUAUCCUUCGUGCUGUACGAUUUCUGUACUUUUGAUAUUUUUUUCGUAAUUGGCACCGUAUGGACGAAAAUUUUUGCGCAUAUAUAAGUGAUUCGAAUACCCAAGCGCAAGAUAACGUUGGUUGAAACUCCCAUUCAAAAUACAUCGUUUAUCAUUUGCUACUAUGCACAAAGUAAUGAUCAUACUACGUCAUCAAAAGCAAUAUCUACUCGUUAAUUAUUAUUGGAAACAUCUGUCGGUGGAGGUUGUAACUUAGCAUCUGGUGAGCUUACCGACUGUUUGCCUAUUUUAUUUAAAAAUUUAAGUGAAAACUACAGGUUACUCUAGUAAAGUGUUCAGUUUGUGUGUAGAUCCCCGACAAUGAUUUGCGAGAGCGCGGCCCAUCA